GAUGAACGCUAGCGGCAGGCCUAACACAUGCAAGUCGAGGGGUAGUUGUCUUCGGACAAUGAGACCGGCGCACGGGUGCGUAUCGCGUAUGCAAUCUACCUUAUACUAAGGGAUAGCCCAGAGAAAUUUGGAUUAAUACUUUAUAGUUAAUAGAGUUGGCAUCGACUUUAUUAUAAAGAUUAAUUGGUAUAAGAUGAGCAUGCGUCCCAUUAGUUAGUUGGUAAGGUAACGGCUUACCAAGACGAUGAUGGGUAGGGGUCCUGAGAGGGAGAUCCCCCACACUGGAACUGAGACACGGACCAGACUCCUACGGGAGGCAGCAGUGAGGAAUAUUGGUCAAUGGGCGCAAGCCUGAACCAGCCAUGCCGCGUGCAGGAUGAAGCAUCUAUGGUGUGUAAACUGCUUUUGUACGGGAAGAAAAAAAGCUACGUGUAGCUUACUGACGGUACCGUAAGAAUAAGGAUCGGCUAACUCCGUGCCAGCCGCCGCAGUAA
rnacentral:rRNA from 1 species